rnacentral:misc_RNA from 1 species
AAAAGAGAUGACAUGAAAAUUAUUUUGUCAACAAUAGAGCAACAUCAUGCAUGGAAGCAAGAGCAAUAAACUGUGACCGAUCACAUCAUAGAUAAUAUGACAGAUUAUCGCUCAACCACGCAAAAAGUUGCCAGAUACUUAGGCAACCCAGUAGCAUUAAAUACAUGGAAAUUAUUUUAUAAUAGCUGUCAACAUUUAUCAUCAACCAACUAUUCAACCACCCGGGGAAUGGCGAUGAGAGGAGUGGCCUUCUGCAGAGUAGUACCAAAUCUGUCAGUCACGUCCAUUGCCUUCGGUUCCAAACCAUUGGGCAGCUGCCAGUCAAAAUGGUGAAUGAGGGAAGCCAGCAAUGAACUCAUCAUUCUAACACCUAGAGCCAGUCCAGGGCAAAUUCUUCUUCCAGAACUAAAUGGAAGAAAUUGGAAAUUUGUCCCUCUGAAGUCAACUUCAGAUUUCAUGAACCUCUCUGGGAGAAACUCCGUUGGGUCGUCCCAGUAUUGGGGAUCUCUGGCCAAUGCCCAUGCGUUCACAAACACUUGGGUGUGCUUAGGGAUGGUGUAACCACAAAUUUCUGUGUCGAUUUCUGCACGGUGAGGCAAGAGCAGAGGAGCUGUCAUGUGCAGCCUCAUUGUUUCUUUAAGAACUGAUUGUAAAUAUGGAAGCCUUAUAACAUCUUUCUCUUCCAUGGUUUUUCCUAUUCCAAUUUUUUCGACAAGCUCUUGCUUUGCCUUGGCCAUUAUAUGUGGAUUGUGGAGCAACUCAGCCAUUGCCCAUUCCAAAGUAGUUGUAGUCGUGUCUGUUCCCCCAAUGAACAAGUCCGAAAGUAAAAUUAUGACAUCUUCGUGGCUGAAGUCCUCUGAGCCACAGUACUCUUGGCUUUGGUCAAGAAGGACAUCCAAGAAAUCACCGUAUCUUUCUAAACUGGACUUUCUUCUCUUCAGACGCUGACCAACAAUCUCAUCAAGCAAACUAUGCAUAUGAUCAUAAGAAAUCUUGAUUUCUAGCUUGAUACCUUGUGGAUCGAAUGGUUUCAAGAAAGGAAAAAAAUCUGACAGAUUUGGCUUUCCUGACAGCUCCAUUAUUUUUCCAAUAAGUUGUUUCAAUUCUUGAAUAGCAUUGGAUUUGGUGUCCAAUAUAUCAACAGAAAACAUGGAGUUAGAGAGCAAAUUUAACGUUGUUCCAAACACUAACCUUCCAAUAUUGAUGUGUUCUUUGGCUUCACUAGCUUCGGUGAUGGACUUGAUCAUACCAUCCAUCAUUUGAUUUCGUAAACCUUGCAGCGCAUCAAGUCUUUGAGGGGUGAAGACCUGGCUGUUGCAUAUUUUUCUUAGGCUUCUCCAUUUCGGACCACCGGAUAACCAUGCCAUGGAUAGUUCAUAAUUGUGUUCUGCAGUAACCGCGUGUGGAAUAGGCCUACCCAAGAAUGCUUGAUCGUUUUUCUGGAGGAUUUCUCUGGCCAUUUCUGCGGAGGUAGCAACUACGGUGGUGUUGAAGCCUAGUUGAAUAGUCAUGAUGGGGCCAUGGAUUUUGGCUAGCUUGGUUAGGGACUCGUGGGGCCUGGCACCUAUUGCUAAGAGGUUUCCAACGAUGGGAAGGCCUCUUGGUCCUGGUGGGAGUCUUUUCCUUUUUUUGAGGCUAAAAAGGCCAUGGAUGCAUAUUAAGAGAAUCAAAGUGAAGAUUGCAAGUGUAUAGGAAUCCAUUACCUAGUGAUUUCAAG